rnacentral:lncRNA from 13 species
UCCUGAGAAUUUCACCUAGGUGGCAGGCCCUUGAGUUUUUGCCAGAUGUAUCCCACUCGCUGACAUGAAUGUUUCUUGACAUGCUGUCUAGGGUACUGCUUAUUUUCUACUUUGCAAGUCCAAGUAGCAUGAUGUCAUAAAUGUAGUGGGCCCACGUCAUAGUCUGUGGAUUGAAGAUGCAAUACAAAAUCCAGACUGGAUUUUGGCAGAGCACUGGAGAGUUCAUAGAGUCUUGAGGCAGGCAGUGAAGAUUCAGGGCUGAGCCUUGCCGCUGAAAGCAAAAGGCCUUUGAUGGUCUUUACUAAAAUGUAUAUGGAAAAGCAUUCACUGAAGCAGCUGUCAUCCUGGAGACCAUGUAAAGGGGUUUUGAAGUCGUUGAAACACAAGACCUUAAAUGACUGAGACCCUCCCCCACCAAGUUUCCAUAAGGAGGAGAAAACGAAUAUUGUGGAAAGGCUGUCUUCGCAACACGACGUUAAGGAUUUUCAUCAUUUUCCUGUGAUCCAAAGGACUUGAUCGCAAGUUUUAAGGAAGGACGUGAUGGGACUGGCUGCAAUGUGGAGAAAGGAACUGGGGCUGGGAAAGCAGAGUGAAUGGAGAGAAAACCUGGGCAAAUAAAGAGAUG